rnacentral:tRNA from 1 species
GGGGGUAUAGCUCAAGUGAUAGAGCACAAGCUUAGCACACACUAGGUCCUGGGUUCAAUCCCCAGUACCUCCU